GAUGAAGAACGCAGCGAAAUGCGAUAAGUAAUGCGAAUUGCAGAAUUUCCGUGAGUCAUCGAAUCUUUGAACGCACAUUGCGCCCCUUGGUAUUCCGAGGGGCAUGCCUGUUCGAGCGUCAUUAUAACCCCUCAAGCUCAGCUUGGUGUUGGGGCCUGCUGCACUGGCAGCCCUUAAAAUCAGUGGCGGCGCCAUCUGGCUCUAAGCGUAGUAAUUCUUCUCGCUAUGGAGUCCUGGUGGAUGCUUGCCAUCAACCCCCAAUUUUUCUAUGGUUGACCUCGGAUCAGGUAGGGACACCCGCUGAACUUAAGCAUAUCAAUAAGCGGAGGA
rnacentral:misc_RNA from 1 species